UAGUCCACGACCGUAAACGCUGUCUACUAGCUGUUUGUGAGUUUAACUCGUGAGUAGCGAAGCUAACGCGCUAAGUAGACCGCCUGGGGAGUACGGUCGCAAGAUUAAAACUCAAAUGAAUUGACGGGGGCCCGCACAAGCGGUGGAGCAUGUGGUUUAAUUCGAUGCAACGCGAAGAACCUUACCUACACUUGACAUUCAGCGAAGUUACCAGAGAUGGUUUCGUGCCUUCGGGAGCGCUGGGACAGGUGCUGCAUGGCUGUCGUCAGCUCGUGUCGUGAGAUGUUGGGUUAAGUCCCGCAACGAGCGCAACCCUUGUCCUUAUUUGCCAUCAUUAAGUUGGGCACUCUAAGGAGACUGCCGGUGACAAACCGGGAGGAAGGUGGGGACGACGUCAAGUCAUCAUGGGCCCUUACGGUGUAGGGGCUACACACGUGCUACAAUGGGGCGGGGUACAGAGGGGAAGCGAGACGGGCGACGUUUAGCGGGACCCCUUAAAGGCCCGUAGU
rnacentral:rRNA from 1 species